rnacentral:lncRNA from 1 species
UGCAGGAUGGAGCUGGGAUGUGAGAUAACGAGUGGCCAUGCGGCGGGCCGGGUUUCCUUAUUGCUGAGGAUGUGUGCCUGAUGCUUCCAUUGAUGAAAAUACAGCUGUGCUCCCGAUCGUGGCCAGGGGAGAGAUGGGGACUGCGGUUCCCUACAGGGCAGCUGCCACAGAUGGCUUCAUGUGUGUCCUGCUCAGCCAGACGGGCUGGAUCCCUCCUCCUUCCUCCCCAAACACCUUCUUGCUCUAUUUUCCCUUCCCAACAGAGAGAUGCCACAUCCCAGCAUCUCCUCCUGGGGUUACAUCCAUAGCCCUAAGGUGUCUCGCUCCAUCCCCAGGCUGAGUGAUGCGGGUGUCCAUGCAGGAAACUUGCCCAGCCUGAGAAGCCAGAAGAAGAGGAGCUCAAGUUGGAAAAGCAGGAAUCAGAAUGGGCCAACCAAGGCAGAAGUGGGGACGGAGCGCAGGUGGCGAGUCCUGCAGUGCCACGUGGCUGCUCAUUGUUCAUUGUUCCCUCCUGGCUGAGCGGAGCCAGCGCGGGGACAGGACACGAUAAGGGAGGAGAGGGCACUGCUCUGGUUCCUGCUCCCCGACAGCUUGUUUCCUCACUCACCUGACCUCUCCUUAGGUAAACUCAGUGCUUUGCCUCUUACAGUUUGCUUUGCUCUCAACACAACGCGGGGCUCUCAGAAAACAGCCCGGCUCUAUUAAUAGCCCACAGGGUUGCCAAAUCCCUUCUGUAUGUUGAAAGAACGGCCGUAACACCAUGAUUCAGCCCUCAGUGGUAAGAAAGGAGCUGUGCUGGAAGGGUCCUGGCCUGGAGGGCCAUGUCCAAUGUGGAGUAGAGGUGGGGACGGCCCUUUGUUCCAUUGGCCAUGGAUUUCUUGGCUUGCUUGCAACACAAAUAAUUGUAUCGCUAAACUCGGUCUUGUUCCUUGCUGCUGGCAGAUGCCCAAACUACAGAGCUGGACUUGAUGGACUUGUGUUGCAUAUGCACCUGGAAUGGAGGAAAAACAGGACCACCUCAAAGAGGGCAAAGCCAUGGACAAGUCGCUGCAGUUCCUUGCACUCAGGGCGGUGGUCACUUGAGAUGAGUUUGGGGUGGGCAAGCAGGCUGCUGAUGGCUGCUGAACAUCUCCAUCUCCAUGCUGAGUGUCUCCAUCCCAACACUGAACAUCUCCAUCCCAGUGCUGAACAUCUCCAUUCCAACACUAAUUAUCUCCAUCUCUCUCUCACUGCUGAACAUCUCCAUCCCAAUAUUGAUCGUCUCCAUCCCACAGUUGAACAUCUCCAUCCCAAUGCUGAAUGUCUCCAUCCCAACAGUGAACAUCUCAAAUUCAAGACUGAACAUCUCCAUCCCAAUGCUGAACAUCUCUAUUCCAACACUGGUUAUCUCCAUCUCUCUGUCUCACUGCUGAACAUCUCCAUCCCAGUGCUGAACAUCUCUAUCCCAAAGCUGAAUAUCUCCAUCUCCAUUUUCUGAAACAUACUCUGUGAGAGUCUUAGACCCUCAGGAAGGAUGAGGACCUCGUGGUGACACCCAGCAAGAAUGGAGACUCCCCCCAAAAUGUUCCCUGUUAGAAACACAUGCCCAGUGCCGAGCCCUGGGGUAAAGCCAACGCUGUGAAGCUCCCUGUUUUCCUUCCCACUCCUGGCAAAGCUCUGCCCUCCAUCAGCUGAACAAUCCUGCUCUGUCCCCGUGCCCUCUGGCUCCAGCUAGGCUCUAGCAAAUCUGAGCAGGGGGACAACACGGUUCAACAGAGCGUAGAACAGCGCUUGGAGCAUGGCAGUGCAGAGGCGGUGCCCAAAGCAAACACAGUCCUGCGAAAAAAUCCUUCCCAGCUUAGUGCACCCUUCUAAAAACACAGAGUGACUUCAGAAAAAUGUGAGAAAACAUGAGCUGCUCACCCCGAGAGGGAAAAUAGCAUGGGAGCCAUAGGAUGGAGCCUGCUGGCUGCAGCCAUGUCCCCGUUGCAGAGGAUCCUGAGGCCAUCGCGAUGCCUGGGAAGGGCUGAGCUCCCUGAAAGAGCAGUUGGAUGAUGGAUGUGGAGUUAAAAACCUCUUACAGAAGGGAUGUGCCACAGCAGCCCGCUUCAGCUCCCUCUCCAAGAGAGAUUAUUAAUUAUAAACAUUGCAAAUCUUCGCGAUUCAUACUCAUGAUUGCAGUGCAUCCAUCACACACUGGGAAAUCAUUAAGGAAAAGCAUGGGCUGGAGGCACGGGGCAGUUGCAACCGUUGCUGUUGGGGAGCACGAGCAGGAAAGAGUCAUGCACAGGAGGAAGAGUGGCCCCAGUGCCCCUCUUGUGCAAUGGCUCAGCAGAGGGGAAAGGCACUGGGAGGAUGCUCAGAGGGGGAAGUGGCCUCCUGAGCAGCCCUGGCUCUCCUGGGGCUGCUGCUGUCCCAUCUCGGGCAGUACUGCCUGCAAGGAAACUUGCACAGCCAUUUCCAGCAGCCAGACGUGC